UACAUCUCUGGUUACUGUGUAUAAGAGGACGCUGCGCCAGUGCGACACCAUUUUGAAAGUUACAAAUAAAAAUGAUGCGCGUGAAGUUGUGUGUCCUGCUCAUUGUAGCAUUAAUCCUGAUUGGCUGUAUUCAUGAAGGGGAAACAUUCACGGCCGGCCGACACCCACCAAAGGGUAAAAUAGUGAAAGGCAAAGAGUUUGACAGGAGAAAAGAGCUUAUUAGGCGCGAGGCAAAAGACAUUUUGAGGCUUCUUGAUCUUGAAGAAGAACUGGACAUGCAGGACGACCCGUAAUCACAUACUGAUGGUCAACAUCGAGUAGUCUCCGUAAAUGAGCUUCUAGAAGAAAAAAUUUAAACGAAACUAUAUAUUUCAUCGGGCAUUUACUAAAUUGUGAAAAGUCAAAUUAUCAGACGAAAAUAAAAAAGUUCAGUGAGAUAUAUGUCAGUGUGUAUUGUCAUUUCAGCCAGUGUUCAUGUCUUGGUAAUGUUAUAGUUCGGCUGAUGGUGUCAACUUUUUUAAACACAACGUUUAGUUAAAAUUGCUUUUGAUUUUCACAUGUCAGAAUUUUAAUGCAAUUACAGGAAAGUGAAGGGAUUUCAGCUGUUUUGCAAUUGAUUUGAUUUUGAAUUGGUUUGUUUAAGAUAUACGCACGACACUGAGAUAUAUCUUACUGCGUACAUGUAAGACAAGAACCCGUUCCAGUACCAAGAACCGUUGUCGAUGAGAAGAUGUUGGUAAAAUGUUGGGAAAAUGGUCCGUUUUGCAAAUGUCCUAGGACACGUCACAAACGUUCAUUUUAGAUUGUGGGUGGGUAAAAUUGUAUUUUUUCAGUUGUCUCUGCAUGUAUCUUUUGGGGCAAGGGCAAU